rnacentral:rRNA from 1 species
CCACUGCGGGAAAGUAGCUUGCUACUUUUGCCGGCGAGCGGCGGACGGGUGAGUAAUGCCUGGGGAUCUGCCCAGUCGAGGGGGAUAACUACUGGAAACGGUAGCUAAUACCGCAUACGCCCUACGGGGGAAAGGAGGGGACCUUCGGGCCUUUCGCGAUUGGAUGAACCCAGGUGGGAUUAGCUAGUUGGUGGGGUAAUGGCUCACCAAGGCGACGAUCCCUAGCUGGUCUGAGAGGAUGAUCAGCCACACUGGAACUGAGACACGGUCCAGACUCCUACGGGAGGCAGCAGUGGGGAAUAUUGCACAAUGGGGGAAACCCUGAUGCAGCCAUGCCGCGUGUGUGAAGAAGGCCUUCGGGUUGUAAAGCACUUUCAGCGAGGAGGAAAGGUUGAUGCCUAAUACGCAUCAGCUG